rnacentral:rRNA from 1 species
CAGCCGCCGCGGGAAUACAGAGGGUGCAAGCGUUAAUCGGAAUUACUGGGCGUAAAGCGCGCGUAGGUGGUUUGUUAAGUUGGAUGUGAAAUCCCCGGGCUCAACCUGGGAACUGCAUUCAAAACUGACUGACUAGAGUAUGGUAGAGGGUGGUGGAAUUUCCUGUGUAGCGGUGAAAUGCGUAGAUAUAGGAAGGAACACCAGUGGCGAAGGCGACCACCUGGACUAAUACUGACACUGAGGUGCGAAAGCGUGGGGAGCAAACAGGAUUAGAUACCCCGGUAGUCCCUGUCUCUUAUAC